rnacentral:lncRNA from 1 species
AAAUUAAUUUUAAUUAUUCAAGAAAAGACAAAAACCGUAACUCUUCUUUUCUAUUUUGUUUCUUUGCAACCGACACCCACAAGACCAACAACUCACUCACCAGUAAUCACACACCAGUGCAUGAUUCCCUCUUACAGUUUUACGAAUAUCAAACACUAUUGUUGGACCCAACCAUUCAGUCAGCAUUUCAUUGCCAUCU